GGCUGCAUGGCCUAAUGGAUAAGGCAUCUGACUUCGGAUCCGAAGUUUGCGGGUUCGAGUCCCGUCGGAGUUG
rnacentral:tRNA from 1 species